rnacentral:rRNA from 1 species
UGGGGGAUAUUGCACAAUGGGCGAAAGCCUGAUGCAGCGACGCCGCGUGGGGGAUGAAGGCUUUCGGGUUGUAAACCUCUUUCGCUAUCGAACAAGGCCCGCUUAGGGUGGGUUGAGGGGAGGUGGAGAAGAAGCGCCGGCUAACUACGUGCCAGCAGCCGCGGUAAUACGUAGGGCGCGAGCGUUGUCCGGAAUUAUUGGGCGUAAAGGGCUUGUAGGCGGCUUGUUGCGCCUGCAGUGAAAACGCGGGGCUUAACUUCGCGCGUGCAGGGGGGAGGGGCAGGCUUGAGUGUAGUAGGGAUGACUGGAAUUCCAGGUGUAGCGGUGGAAUGCGAAGAUAUCUGGAGGAACACCGAUGGCGAAGGCAGGUCACUGGGCCAUUACUGACGCAGAGGAGCGAAAGCAUGGGUAGCGAACAGG